AAGCAGUGGGGAGCUGUGGCCCUCAGACUCCCCCUUCCCACCCCGCCAUGUGGCACCUGGCCGUGCAUGAGAGGGGCAUGUGGGCGCACCUGCGGAGGGGGAGUCCGGGCGGGAGUGAGAAAGCUAACCUGUCAGGUGGGGUUAGAACGUGGGGGUGUCGGGCUAGAGGAAACUGCUCUCUCCUCACCCCUUGUUUUACCCACAGAAAUGGGAUAAUUUCCUGACCCUGUUUAGGACUUCCAGACCAGGGCAAGAGGAGCCUCAGAGCCUUUUGUCAGAAAAUAUAACUGUCUUCUCAGAACCUGAAGUGAGAAGGAAGAGCCCUGACUCCAGCUUUGGAACCAAUCCAUGCUGCUGUGUUCCUCUGGGGAGUCUGGGAUCACAGCAACAGGGUGGAGGGAGAUUUCAACUCUUGCUCACCUGCUGCUCUGGGCUGAGCUCUGCACAGCCCACGCCACUGAUGCCAAGACGUUAGCCACGUUGGCAAGGAUGGGGGCUGCCUCCUGUUCAGCCCCUUGCAGUCUCUGUCAGUCUUGUUUUUUGGGGUGAUGCUAGAAGGUUGUGUCUCCUCCUUCCACAGCCUCAGUGAUUGCUAACCCUUUUGACUUCACUCUUUGAAAUGGGAUCAUAGAGCAAGUUGUUGAAAACUAGGCCUGGAGUCCUGUGAAAAGCUUUUCUCACUGCUGGCAGCCAGGCCCUGUAGCUGUGGAGCUGGAAAUGAACUUCCACCAGGCUGUGUCCUUGGGGAGGGAAGCUGCAGGAGUGCGUCUGGCUACUCCAAGACCCUGGCAUGAGGCUGAGGACAACUUACAAGGGCUUCACCGAAGCAGUGGACCUUUAUUUUGACCACCUGAUGUCCAGGGUGGUGCCACUCCAGUACAAGCGUGGGGGACCUAUCAUCGCUGUGCAGGUGGAGAAUGAAUAUGGUUCCUAUAAUAAAGACCCCGCAUACAUGCCCUACGUCAAGAAGGCACUGGAGGACCGUGGCAUUGUGGAACUGCUCCUGACUUCAGACAACAAGGAUGGGCUGAGCAAGGGGAUCGUCCAGGGAGUGCUCCUGGAAUCCCUAGAGGCCUCAGCAGUUGCCUGCUAGCAGCACCCCUGGCCUACAUUGCUGCAGUAGCAUUUUCACUGUUGACUCCAUAAUGUGUUCUCAGCAUAUCAGCCUCCGCGUGCCUCUGAAAAUGUCGUCCAGAUUACCCCAUCCUGCUGAACGCCAGGCGUCCCUGUCGCACUCAGAGUGAAGCGCAGGUUCUGGGAAUGACCUCGAAAGGCCUCUCCACUUGGCCUCCAGGACCCAGCUGAGCUCACCUCCUGCUCCUUCCCUUUGCUGACACCGUUUCACCCUCUUUACUGUUCCUCCAGCAUCCGGAUCCCCAGCCUUGGGGCUUUGCUCUUCUUCCAGAGAGCUACAUGGCUGUUCUCCAAAGUUAGCGAGGCUUUCUCUAGCACCACACUUGAAAUUGAACUUCCUCCUUCGUGGGGCUCAGUCAAUCCUUCUCCCUGCUUUCUUUUCGCCCUCUCACCUUCAGGACCGGGCUGCUGGAAGAUCUCUCUAUAUCCCUGCAGCAGCGCCUGGCUGGCACCCAGGGAGUGAAGGUCCGUGAAUGGGGAGGAAAAGGCUUUUGUCCCCAGGCAGAGUGAGUUAGUCAAGGACCCAGACCUUGUGUCUGCGGCAUGGGGAGGACCAGCGGUGAUUCCCACGGUUUCCACGCGGUGGCGCUGUCUCCCCACGGCUGCUUCCAAGGCCGCUCCAGGCUCCGGAGGGCUGUGGCUGUGGAGGGAGACGCCUUUUGAUGCUGGAGCACGUUUCAGCGCUUGGCGGUCUCCCGGUUUUAGGCCUUGCAAGGAAGCCGGGGAGUCUCCACUGCUUUUCCCUGUAGCCCUCCCACCUCCAGGCACCCGCCUGCGUGCCCCUGUUGCCACCUGCUGCCUGGAAUAACUUCUUUUUUUUUUAAUUAAAAAAAUUAAAUGGCCUAAAAGUGAAACAAUCAAAAAUGUUGGUAGAGAAAUUCAGUGUCGCCUUCUUUUCAUUACAUUCUCCAGAAAUGGCCAUUUUCAACUCUUUGACUUUUUCUUUGGAUAUUUUCCUUCUUAUUUCUAAAUACUGUGAACAUAGAGCCCUGCAUCAUUUGCUUUAAAAAUUCUGCCUAUUGGCCGGACGCGGUGGCUCAGGCCUGUAAUCCCAGCACUUUGGGAGGCCUAGGCGGGCGGAUCACCUGAGGUCAGGAGUUCGAGACCAGCCUGCCCAACAUGGCGAAACCCUGUCUCUACUAAAAAUACAAAACAUUAGCCGAGUGUGGUGGCGGGUGCCUGUAAUCCCAGCUACUUGGGAGGCUGAGGCAGGAGAAUCGCUUGAAUCUGAGAGGCAGAGGUUGCAGUGAGCCCAGAUGGUACCCCUGCACUCCAGCCUGGGUGACGAGCAAAAAUCCGUUUAAAAGAAAAAAAAAAUUCUGCCUAUUGACUUCUUGUUCCAGUAGGUGAUGAGUGUUCUUUCCUGCCAACGUGGCUGUUCAGCCCUGAUAGGCGCCAGCGUGGGCCUCCCGGAUGUGUAUGACAAUGGUUCACUGCAGGCACCUGCCACGUGGGUGAUGCCCUGCACAGUAUCUGUGAAUUCUCAGGGUGCCAGCCGGCUCUCUGCAGUGUGCUUAGUUUUCAGUUGUUGGCCACCAUCAACCUUCAGUCAACACAUGAGCUGCAGCUACUGACCACCUUUCUCUUCAACAUCCAGGAGUCCACAUGUGGCAGAACUGGUGUGCAGGCGAAUUUGGCCCUCACCUAUGCCCCACCUCCAAAGACCUCUAAGGCAGUGGGGGACUCAGCCCAAGAUGGUGAUGGAGUACUGGACGGGGUGGUUUGACUCGUGGGGAGGCCCUCACAAUAUCUUGGAUUCUUCUGAGGUUUUAAAAACCGUGUCUGCCAUUGUGGACGCCGGCUCCUCCAUCAACCUCUACAUGUUCCACGGAGGCACCAACUUUGGCUUCAUGAAUGGAGCCAUGCACUUCCAUGACUACAAGUCAGAUGUCACCAGCUAUGACUAUGAUGCUGUGCUGACAGAAGCCGGCGAUUACACGGCCAAGUACAUGAAGCUUCGAGACUUCUUUGGCUCCAUCUCAGGCAUCCCUCUCCCUCCCCCACCUGACCUUCUUCCCAAGAUGCCGUAUGAGCCCGUCACGCCAGUCUUGUACCUGUCGCUGUGGGACGCCCUCAAGUACAUGGAGGAGCCAAUCAAGUCUGAAAAGCCCAUCAACAUGGAGAACCUGCCAGUCAACGGGGGAAACGGACAGUCCUUCGGGUACAUUCUCUAUGAGACCAGCAUCACCUCGUCUGGCAUCCUCAGUGGCCACGUGCAUGAUCGGGGGCAGGUGUUUGUGAACACAGUAUCCAUAGGAUUCUUGGACUACAAGACAACGAAGAUCGCUAUCCCCCUGAUCCAGGGUUACACCGUGCUGAGGAUCUUGGUGGAGAAUCGUGGGCGAGUCAACUAUGGGGAGAAUAUUGAUGACCAGCGCAAAGGCCGGACUGCAGUGACGCUAUCUCAGCUCACUGCACGCUCCACCUCCCGGGUUCAUGCCAUUCUCCUGCCUCAGCCUCCCGAGCAGCUGGGACUACAGGCGCCCGCCACCGUGCCUGAAUUUAGCCCUUCCUUUUAAAAAAAAAUCUAGCUAAAUGUGGGUGGUUUCAGGCUUAAUUGGAAAUCUCUAUCUGAAUGAUUCACCUCUGAAAAAAUUCAGAAUCUAUAGCCUGGAUAUGAAGAAGAGCUUCUUUCAGAGGUUCGGCCUGGACAAAUGGAGUUCCCUCCCAGAAACACCCACAUUGCCUGCUUUCUUCUUGGGUAGCUUGUCCAUCAGCUCCACCCCUUGUGACACCUUUCUGAAGCUGGAGGGCUGGGAGAAGGGGGUUGUAUUCAUCAAUGGCCAGAACCUUGGACGUUACUGGAACAUUGGACCCCAGAAGACGCUCUACCUCCCAGGUCCCUGGUUGGGCAGCGGAAUCAACCAGGUCAUCGUUUUUGAGGAGACGAUGGCGGGCCCUGCAUUACAGUUCACGGAAACCCCCCACCUCGGCAGGAACCAGUACAUUAAGUGAGCGGUGGCGCCCCCUCCUGCUGGUGCCCGUGGGAGACUGCCGCCUCCUCGACCUGAAGCCUAGUGGCUGCUGCCCCGCCCCUCACUGCAAAAGCAUCUCCUUAAGUAGCAACCUCAGGGACUGGGGGCUACAGUCUGCCCCUGCCUCAGCUCAAAACCCUAAGCCUGCAGGGAAAGGUGGGAUGGCUCUGGGCCUGGCUUUGUUGAUGAUGCCUUUCCUACAGCCCUGCUCUUGUGCCGAGGCUGUCGGGCUGUCUCUAGGGUGGGAGCAGCUAAUCGGAUCGCCCAGCCUUUGGCCCUCAGAAAAAGUGCUGAAACAUGCCCUGCACCGGACGUCACAGCCCUGCGAGCAUCUGCUGGACUCAGGCGUGCUCUUUGCCGGUGCUUGGGAGGCUUGGCCACAUCCCUCAUGGCCCCGUUUUAUCCCCGAAAUCCUGGGUGUGUCACCAGUGUAGAGGGUGGGGAACGGGUGUCUCACCUGAGCUGACUCUGUUCUUCCUUCACAACCUUCUGAGCCUUCUUUGGGAUUCUGGAAGGAACUGGGUGUGAGAAACAUGUGACUUCCCCUUUCCCUUCCCACUGGCUGCUUCCUACAGGGUGACAGGCUGGGCUGGAGAAACAGAAAUCCUCAGCCCUGCGUCUUCCCGAGUUAGCGAGUGUCUCUGGUGUUCAGUGAGGAGGACGUGUGUGUCCUGGCAGAAGCCAUGGCCCAUAUCAGCUGUGUAUGAACUGGUUCCGUCAGAAAGUGAUGGAACUGGAAUGGAAGGGAACCUUCCUGCAAAUCCUCCUGUAAGGUGGAGAAGCCCCUUGGAUCACACUUCCACGCAGACCAGAGCAGGACACACUGUGGUUUCCUAAGCCCCCGCCCAGUCAGUGGAGCCCGAUGGCCUUCCUGCUGAUCUGUAAGCAGGCUGAGCAACGCUUGUUCCACCUGGUGGAGGGUUCUUUCUUCUUGGACCCAGGGAGCUGCAUGUCAGGGUGUUGCUGCUUUGCUCAAAUGUCACUUAUCAGGGAGGCCUUUGUGGCCACCCUACAGAGCACUGACCCCUCUCCACUGCUACCUCUGUCUCCCCGACUCAGCCUCAUCCUCCAUACUACAGAUUGCAUCUGAAAUAACAUGCAUUCGUUAUUGCCUGUC
rnacentral:sRNA from 1 species